rnacentral:rRNA from 1 species
CCAGACUCCUACGGGAGGCAGCAGUGGGGAAUAUUGCACAAUGGGGGAAACCCUGAUGCAGCGACGCCGCGUGAGUGAAGAAGUAUUUCGGUAUGUAAAGCUCUAUCAGCAGGGAAGAAAAUGACGGUACCUGACUAAGAAGCCCCGGCUAACUACGUGCCAGCAGCCGCGGUAAUACGUAGGGGGCAAGCGUUAUCCGGAUUUACUGGGUGUAAAGGGAGCGUAGACGGCAUGGCAAGUCAGAUGUGAAAGCCCGGGGCUCAACCCCGGGACUGCAUUUGAAACUGUCAGGCUGGAGUGCAGGAGAGGCAGGCGGAAUUCCUGGUGUAGCGGUGAAAUGCGUAGAUAUCAGGAGGAACACCGGUGGCGAAGGCGGCCUGCUGGACUGCGACUGACGUUGAGGCCCGAAAGCGUGGGGAGCAAACAGGAUUAGAUACCCUCGUA